GUGGGGAAUCUUGCGCAAUGGGCGAAAGCCUGACGCAGCAACGCCGCGUGCGGGAUGAAGGCUCUCGGGUCGUAAACCGCUUUCAGCAGGGAUGAAACUGACAGUACCUGCAGAAGAAGCCCCGGCUAAAUACGUGCCAGCAGCCGCGGUAAUACGUAUGGGGCAAGCGUUAUCCGGAUUCAUUGGGCGUAAAGAGCGCGUAGGCGGCUUGUUAAGUCAGAUGUGAAAACUGGGGGCUCAACCCGCAGCGUGCAUCUGAAACUGGCAGGCUUGAGUCUGGUAGAGGAAAGUGGAAUUCCCAGUGUAGCGGUGAAAUGCGCAGAUAUUGGGAGGAACACCAGUGGCGAAGGCGGCUUUCUGGGCCACGACUGACGCUGAGGCGCGAAAGCUAGGGGAGCAAACAGGAUUAGAUACCCCAGUAGUCC
rnacentral:rRNA from 1 species